rnacentral:misc_RNA from 1 species
CUUGGGGAGGAAUUGGGAUGGAACUACUGGGGUUGUGCAAUGAAGGAAGCAGUCAAGGUUUGAUUGGGCUGACCCCUUUUCAAAAAUCAUGGUUUCGAGGACAAAGAGGAAGAGAGAGAUGGAAAAAAGAGAAAGAAAGGAGAGAAAUUUAGUUUCCCUCCCAACCCAGAAGAGAAAAAACAGAGGAGAGAAACAAAAAGAGGAGGAGGGAGAGAAAAAGAGAGGGAGAGGGGGAGAAAUUGUCGGGAUUUUAUUUCCUUUUAGAGAUAGAAAGAGUGACGAAGAGAAACAGAAAUGCGAGAGAAUCCUAUUUUUUGACGCUUAGACUUUAGACAGCUAAAUAUAAAAUAAAAGAAAAGAGAAAGAAAAACUCAAAAUAUAUAUCUCUCUGUUUCUGGAGAAAGUCUUGGCAGGUGAAUGGCAAUGUUGUCAAAAUCCAGCGCCACCGGAAACACAAAUUUCCGGCAUAAUUUUCGUUCGGGAAAGUAAAAAAGAAACCUCUACGAGAAAGUGAUUGCUUAAAUUUGGUAUGCUCUGUUUCUUCUAAUUCUGUUUAGCCUCCCUCCACUCUUGACUGUGCGUUAUUCAAAAUCCAAGAAACAACAUCUAUCAAGUGACACCACAAAAUCCAACGUUAAUUCUUGAAGUUUAAUCAAAAUCUGCCAAGAAAAUGAGGAAAUGAUGAGAAAAAGUUUGUAGUUUUAGCUGAGAAAAAUCAGAGUCUAGUUUUCAAAAGAAACCCAUGUUUUCUGUGGUAAAGAUAUGGAGGCUAGUGG